GCGGGUAUGGUUUAGUGGUAGAACAUGGCCUUCCCAAGGCUAGGACCCCAGUCCGAUUCUGGGUACCCGCACCA
rnacentral:tRNA from 2 species